CAAGACAGUACAAAGGGAAAAUGGUAGCACCAUCUCUUUUAUCAAGACAGCAAAAAGUCUUCCCAGAAGCUACCCAACAGAUUCCUGUUAGUCCUCAUUGUCCAGAACGAUGUCACCGAACGACUGCUAGCUGCAAGGAUGGCUGGGAGAAGCAGGAUCCAGCUUUUACAGCUUCUCCAACAAAGCUGCUUUGGAAAGAGCCAAGGAAAAGGACAUCUCCCCUUGGCCAAAUGAUCUAGGAGUACAGCUGAGUGGCCUUGAGGAGAAUCCAUGGAGCCCCAGAAGCUGCUGAACAUUGGAUUUCUGCUGUGUUCCAUGAGUUGCCUCUUGAUGGAGACUGUAAGUUCCUCUACAUCACCUUUAUCUGCCUUUGGAAUACAAGACAAAGCAGGAUCGAAACCACGCUCAAGGGAAAACCACGGGUUCUGGCUUAGCAGCUUCAGAGAUUACUUGUGGGAUUGCAUCAAGACCUCCAUACCUCCAGCAGCUAUUUUUGCUUUUCUUCUCUCCAUAGCCAUAAUGGGGACCCUCUGCUGCCUCACUAUUCUUGUAGGUGAACCAGUCCAAUGAAGUACUAGAAGAUUCAGUUGGGCAGAAUAUGCUAUUUGCUUACAAUGAGGAAGUACCUAUCAAUUAAAA
rnacentral:lncRNA from 1 species